rnacentral:lncRNA from 1 species
AACAACCCCACCCCCUGCGGCGCCACCCAGCUGGGAGCGGAGAGAGACUGACAGCGGAGGCGGGGGUCAGGGCGGGGACCCGGACCCCAGCCCCAUCGGGGACAGAGUCCAAAAAUAGCUCGCGUCCUUGGUGUUCGCCUUGUCGCAGGAGCCUCGCCAUCGCGCAAUCUGCACUCGCCCCUCUGCAGAUCUAAGGCCAGACCUGGGCCACCCUAACUUCUCGGUAUCUCCUAUUUCUACAAACCGGCCGGGUAGAGGAUGCAGCCGGGCGUGGUGGCUACAAGAAAGUGCCCUGGUGUUAAGAACUCAGCCUCUGAAACCUGCCGCCCAGCUUCGAGUCAGCGACGUACUUUUGUUGUCCCGGCCUUAGUAUCCCCGCUGCAAUAAGAGUGUAAGCUCCUAAAGGCAGAAAUCAAGCUGACCUAAGCAAAGACCUGAAGGGGCUAUGAGGACAUCUGGCAGAAGAGGUAAUGCUACGGGUAAGGAAUUGUACAAACACAUGAGAAAUAUCCACAGAAAGCACAGCACCUGGG